rnacentral:rRNA from 1 species
CCUACGGGUGGCAGCAGUGGGGAAUAUUGGGCAAUGGGCGCAAGCCUGACCCAGCAACGCCGCGUGAAGGAAGAAGGCUUUCGGGUCGUAAACUUCUUUUGUCAGGGACGAAGCAAGUGACGGUACCUGACGAAUAAGCCACGGCCAACUACGUGCCAGCAGCCGAGGUAAUACGUAGGCGGCAAGCGUUAUCCGGAUUUACUGGGGGUAAAGGGGGUGGAGGCGGGACUGCAAGACAGGAGUGAAAACCACGGGCCCAACCUGUGGCCUGCAUUUGAAACUGUAGGUCUUGAGUACUGGAGAGGCAGACGGAAUUCCUAGUGUAGCGGUGAAAUGCGUAGAUAUUAGGAGGAACACCAGUGGCGAAGGCGGUCUGCUGGACAGCAACUGACGCUGAGGCGCGAAGGCGUGGGGAGCAAACAGGAUUAGAUACCCGUGUAGUC